rnacentral:tRNA from 1 species
CUCCAGUUAGCCUUGUGGAUAAGGCUUUGGAUUUCCAAUCCGGAGACUGCGGGUACGAUUCCCGCCUUGUACA